GUGCUCGUGGCCCGGUGGCCGGGUAUCUCGUUGCCGACGGGGCCACGCGAGUUCGAUUCUCGCCGAGCACU
rnacentral:tRNA from 1 species